AUCCAACUGAUGAGUUCCAGAUAGGACGAAACGCGCGUCAAACUGGAU
rfam:Schistosoma haematobium scaffold1959_1, whole genome shotgun sequence.